rnacentral:lncRNA from 1 species
AUAGGAACUCUGCAAUCAUGAAAGUCGUCAUCUGGCAGCUGGAAGGCCAUACCUUAGGAAGCUGAAAUUGCUGGCAGCUGCAGAAAGCAGUGGGUGGCAGGUGUUCCCGCACGCCCUUUGGGGAGGAAAAGGGCUACAUUUCAGAGGCUUAUAUGCGCUAAUAUACAAAUGGCUUCUAAAUAAUAAAAGGAUUUUGAGUAAUUCCGAGUUGUCAGGAUGUCUGAAGAAUGAAGCUUGAGAUUAAGCUGCCAGAAACAAUGUUGAAAACCAUGAGAGCUAUUCUAAUGAAGAAGCCUCUUCUGCUGUCAGUUACCACACACAAAAUCUACUGUUGGCACCACUGCUCUUUCUCUGAUGAGAACUUGAUCUUGCUUUUACCAUUACUUCCACUGCCAUCAAAGAGAGAGAAUUCCAUAUUCCAAUACUGCAAAGUGUACAAUUAUCUGUAUGACACCGAAAAAGAAGCAGUACAGCUUAGUGGGAAGAGCACGGACUUGGACGUAGUGACUUCUCAGCCAGUAUAGACAAAGAGUUGACCCUGGAUGACUCUAGUGAGUCCCGAAUCAAAUGGCUUGGCUUUUAUCAAACCCCCUCUGGGAGAAAUGACUCCAGUAUUGAUGGGGACAUCCCAACCCAGGCUUCACCCUGAUCUGCAUAUGGCCUGGGCUUCAGCUGUGAGAGUUGUGGUGGGACGCCAUCAUGCUCUAACUCUGAAGUUCUUAGAAGAUGCUCAGGCUUUUGCUAUAGAAAAACAAAGGAAGAAUGGGUACAGUGAGCCAGACUCUGGUUUGUGCUGUGAAUCCUGUUGAUGAAUCUGCAUGGAGAAAGUCAAAGUGAACCAUAUUGCUCAUUAGCAAGUCAGAAUGCCUGACUCAUGCUGAGCACAGGAGGACAACUGAGGAAUGAGACCCUGGCUGAAGGGCCCAUCAUGGUGUCAUCUUUUCCUUUGUUGGAGGCCUGAUGGUAUCAACUCUCUCUCCAUGCUCGCCCACCAUGUGUGUGGUGUCUGUCAAUGCAGGUAUCACAGAUCACUGAUGAAGAGGUGUGUGUGUGGAGGCAGAAGUCUAGAGAGAUCAUCUGAGCCAAUUAGGGAGGAGUAUUUCCCCUGGAAUGAUCCUUCAACAUCCAUGUGAAUUUUUGGCGAAGUCUCCUUGGUCAUGCUGAAGACUUCCCAUGCUGAAGACAUGACUUUGGGGCAGUUUGCAGGACUACCUGGCAUGUACCACAUGUGUUGGGUUUUCUUCAUUCCCCAUUUUGUUUUGCUUUGCUUUCCAAUAUCAAAGCACUCUAAGCUACUAGACAUAGCUUCUAUCCAAUGACUUCAGAUGAACAAUUUCCAGAUGUGCUAUUUGUAGUCUGGCCAAAAUUUAAUAGUUGUAGAGCAAAGAUACAAAGGUCCCCAGUCCCUAGAGGCACUAUAGCAUCACAGUGUAGACUGCAAGCCCGGGAGCCAGACUGCCUGGGAUUGAAUCCUGGCUCUACCACUUGGGUAAGCUAUUGAACUUCUUUGCUCCUCAGUUUUCUCAUCAAUAAAACAGUGAUAAUGAUAGUACCUAACUCACAGGGAUGUUGUGAGGAUUAAAUUAAUUAAUUGUCUUUUUUUUACAAGAGGGUUUGUAGACUAUGUGCCUGCCAAGUGGUAAGUGCGUGAUAAAUGGUAAGCAUUCUUAUGAUUCAAGAAUCCUGUUGGCCACUUCAACAGGACCUCACAGGGUGGGAGUAAGUGGAUGAAUGGGCCUUGAGUAUCAUGGAGAUGCUCAGCUUUAUAGAUCUAGAAAUGUGAUCACCUCAGUGCAAUCAGUUAAGAGGGCACAGGAGAUUGGCCCAUAUAGACUAAACUCUCAAACUCACAAAAGGGUUUAUUGCCCUAUACCAAUGCGUUUAUUUACAGUAAGAUUUAGAACAGGCAAGGGGGCCACCCAGACAUUCAUGUCAGCAUGUCAGUGUACCCUUCCCUAGUAUGAAAAUCUACACGGGAAAUCAAGUUUUAAUUUGAAGGUUGCUUGGUGAGCAUGGAAGUAGAACUUGGUAAACUCAAGCUGUGCGGAUUUAACGUAGUCAUUCCCAAUACAGGAAGAGAAUAUCGCGUAUUUACCUGCAAAAGGGACUGAAACUUCCAGUCCUCUGGUCAGGAAACUCCCUCUUGUGAACACAGCUAACAAAUUCAAACUUAUUUUCUUUUCUCUGGUGCCACACAGAGCAUUCCAUUGUGAUAAUAUACUUUCUUUGGGAUUGUGGAGACUAAAAAGGGGGCAGGGUCAAAGCUUUAGAUAUGCUAAUACAGCAGUUACUUCUGGAACUAUAUUUGAGUCAGGCCCUGGGUAUAUCUGAAAGUUUUUAGACAUUUCGUCUUCAGAUGAGUUUCUUUCACACUGACCUAGGGGAGAGUGGAAUUUCCGGCCCACUGAAUGAGGAAGUGACGCGUUCGAUGCCUAAUAGGAUGGAGGAAUUUGUGUUUACCUGAACUCUUUUAAAGGAAAGCCCUUCGUGGAGUUGAAGAAUCUUUUAUGAGCCACUUGAUGGCAGUGGGGGUGGGGGAC